AACCAUUACGGUGUGAACACGCGAAAGUAUACGCUCAGUAAAAAUACAAAGUGAAAAGUGUUAGAUUCAAUUCAACAAUGAAGGGUGACAAAUACCAAGAGCGCUCCGACUCAGGCAUUAAAUAUGCGAUACUCGACGGGACCGCAAAGAAGAGAAAACGUGGUCGAAGAGCCGGACGCUACGUUCAAGCAAGAAGGCGCCGCCGUGAAUUAAACGUGCACAAACCCUCACGUAGCUUUGUACGAAGAAUUGGCUGCUGAAAUAGCGCUCAUAUCAACGUCAGGACGCUGCGUGCGGAGGUCCGCUGCUAUUGAUAUUCCGAAGCGCGAUUCUGCUGGAACCACAGCAACGUUCAACGACACAUCCUCUUCGUCGAGUGAAAGUAAAAACCUAGAGACAAUAGAAAUAGUUGAUUUGUGCGAUAGUGACGCCGAAACUGUAAUUAUGACGCCGCCGCAGGCAAUAGACAUUUUAGAUACGUCAAUAGCACGGAAAGUGUUCGAACAUCAUGAAAUUCCCGAUAAUAUAUUGUUAGAUUACGCGCGCCAUUCGCACGAGGAUCCAAACUUUGUACCGACAAGUGUAUGGAAUUGGUGCGAAUUUAGAUUCGAGACUCAGUAAAUUAAAUAUAAAUACGUAAGUUGGAUAUUCAAUAUCAUUUUCCAUUUUCAAAUCAAUCCCGCGAUAAAA